UAUUGUUGUAAUUUAUUGUUGAGGUAGUAGGAGAAGGUCUAGAAACUUAAGGGUUUUGGCGGUUCAUUUUAUCUUUUUAGAGGAAUUUGCUGAGUAAUCGAUAAUCCUCGUUAUUUUUUACUUAAUGUUAGUGCUUGUAUAUCGCUGUUGAUGAUAUUUUAAUAAGAAUAUCUAAUAGUUGUUGUUCUAAAAUUCAAGUCAAGAUGCAGUUUUUAAUUAAGGUUUGAGUGAAUUACAAUUUUUAUUAAUGGCUGUUGAUAUAUAAAUAUAUGAUUAAAAAAGGAUUUAAUAGUAAUAUGAAAUUAGAAUGUUUAUAUGAAUUGAGUUUAAAUGAAUGU
rnacentral:rRNA from 1 species